rnacentral:ncRNA from 1 species
UUGAGCCGUAUGCUAUGAAAGUGGCACGUAUGGUUCUAACCGGGGGAAAGCUCGAGAGGGCCUACCUAUCGGAAU